AGUGUCUGAUGUUCCCUAUGAUUCU
rnacentral:piRNA from 1 species